AGAGUUUGAUCCUGGCUCAGGAUGAACGCUGGCGGCGUGCCUAAUACAUGCAAGUCGAGCGAACGGACGAGAAGCUUGCUUCUCUGAUGUUAGCGGCGGACGGGUGAGUAACACACGUGGAUAACCUACCUAUAAGACUGGGAUAACUUCGGGAAACCGGAGCUAAUACCGGAUAAUAUUUUGAACCGCAUGGUUCAAAAGUGAAAGACGGUCUUGCUGUCACUUAUAGAUGGAUCCGCGCUGCAUUAGCUAGUUGGUAAGGUAACGGCUUACCAAGGCAACGAUGCAUAGCCGACCUGAGAGGGUGAUCGGCCACACUGGAACUGAGACACGGUCCAGACUCCUACGGGAGGCAGCAGUAGGGAAUCUUCCGCAAUGGGCGAAAGCCUGACGGAGCAACGCCGCGUGAGUGAUGAAGGUCUUCGGAUCGUAAAACUCUGUUAUUAGGGAAGAACAUAUGUGUAAGUAACUGUGCACAUCUUGACGGUACCUAAUCAGAAAGCCACGGCUAACUACGUGCCAGCAGCCGCGGUAAUACGUAGGUGGCAAGCGUUAUCCGGAAUUAUUGGGCGUAAAGCGCGCGUAGGCGGUUUUUUAAGUCUGAUGUGAAAGCCCACGGCUCAACCGUGGAGGGUCAUUGGAAACUGGAAAACUUGAGUGCAGAAGAGGAAAGUGGAAUUCCAUGUGUAGCGGUGAAAUGCGCAGAGAUAUGGAGGAACACCAGUGGCGAAGGCGACUUUCUGGUCUGUAACUGACGCUGAUGUGCGAAAGCGUGGGGAUCAAACAGGAUUAGAUACCCUGGUAGUCCACGCCGUAAACGAUGAGUGCUAAGUGUUAGGGGGUUUCCGCCCCUUAGUGCUGCAGCUAACGCAUUAAGCACUCCGCCUGGGGAGUACGACCGCAAGGUUGAAACUCAAAGGAAUUGACGGGGACCCGCACAAGCGGUGGAGCAUGUGGUUUAAUUCGAAGCAACGCGAAGAACCUUACCAAAUCUUGACAUCCUUUGACAACUCUAGAGAUAGAGC
rnacentral:rRNA from 1 species